rnacentral:pre_miRNA from 1 species
UGGCAGUGUAUUGUUAGCUGGUUGAAUAUCUGAAUGCACCAGCUAACAUGCAACUGCUGUC